GCUUCCUUAGCUCAGUUAGGCAGAGCGCUUCCAUGGUAAGGAAGAGGUCACCAGUUCGAGCCUGGUAGGAAGCUCCA
rnacentral:tRNA from 2 species